AACGAGGCCGACCUGCGGCUGAGUUACCUGCGGAAGGAUCAUUACAGAGUUGCAAAACUCCCUAAACCAUUGUGAACGUUACCUAAACCGUUGCUUCGGCGGGCGGCCCGGGUCCUUCCCGGCGCCCCUCGGCCCUCGCGGGCGCCCGCCGGAGGUAAACCAAACUAUUGCAUUGUAUGGCCUCUCUGAGUCUUCUGUACUGAAUAAGUCAAAACUUUCAGCAAUGGAUCUCAGAUCGGA
rnacentral:misc_RNA from 1 species